rnacentral:lncRNA from 1 species
UGCAUUAAUCAAAAUUUAACACAUCACGUGAACCAGAAUUGUCAACCUAAUUUAUAUCAUUUCACGUACGAGAAAGAUAUAUUUUUACCAAAUUUUUAUAUUUUAAGAAUAUGCUUUCAUUUUUUGUUAUAAAAAAUUAUUGUCGAAUUACCAAUUAGAUGUCCUUCAUUUAUUUAUUUUAAUUGGUUGCAUUGUUCUUUCCAUCUCUAUGACAUUGAUGGGUCCAUAUGGGAAAAGAUGCCACGCUUUAUAUCGUAUCCAAAGAUGUAAGCUUUGCUGUUGAAGUUGCUGCAUUCAGCCAAAGCCAACUAUAAAGUAUUUCCACAAAUCAUGCAAUGUAAUUUAUAAUGCUGUCGUAUUUUGACUGUAAAUUCCCCAGCUACUCUUCUUUGUCAAGUACGAGCUAAACUUCAAAAACAAUAGUUUAUAAACUAAAUAAAUAAAUA